rnacentral:rRNA from 1 species
AUACGAAAGGGGCUAGCGUUGUUCGGAAUUACUGGGCGUAAAGCGCACGUAGGCGGCCUUGUAAGUUGGGGGUGAAAUCCCGGAGCUCAACUCCGGAACUGCCUCCAAAACUACAAAGCUUGAGGAUGUGAGAGGAGAGUGGAAUUCCGAGUGUAGAGGUGAAAUUCGUAGAUAUUCGGAAGAACACCAGUGGCGAAGGCGACUCUCUGGCACAUUUCUGACGCUGAGGUGCGAAAGCGUGGGGAGCAAACAGGAUUAGAUACCCCGGUAGUCC